UACGAAGGGCGCUAGCGUUGCUCGGAAUGACUGGGCGUAAAGGGCGCGUAGGCGGCUUACCUAGUUAGGCGUGAAAUUCCUGGGCUCAACCUGGGGACUGCGUCUAAUACAUGUAGGCUUGAGUGUGAAAGAGGGUCGUGGAAUUUCCAGUGUAGAGGUGAAAUUCGUAGAUAUUGGAAAGAACACCGGUGGCGAAGGCGGCGACCUGGUUCAUUACUGACGCUGAGGCGCGAAAGCGUGGGGAGCAAACUGG
rnacentral:rRNA from 1 species